rnacentral:lncRNA from 1 species
CUCUCUAUUUUACUUUGAAUGGCCCUUUUGUGCUUAUGGGAGAUUUCCCUUGUAAUCUCUUUGGAAUCUCUUUCCUAAAUGAUCUCUCCCACUUCCAUAGCUUCUCCCCUAGCUCUCCUCUUGUUUUUAUAGCUUUUGAUGGCGUGGAAACAAGAAUAUAGCCGUUAGAGAUAAAAAUAGAGCCGUUGGACACAGUCUGC